AGAGUUUGAUCAUGGCUCAGGAUGAACGCUGGCGGCGUGCCUAAUACAUGCAAGUCGAGCGAACGGACGAGAAGCUUGCUUCUCUGAUGUUAGCGGCGGACGGGUGAGUAACACGUGGAUAACCUACCUAUAAGACUGGGAUAACUUCGGGAAACCGGAGCUAAUACCGGAUAAUAUUUUGAACCGCAUGGUUCAAAAGUGAAAGACGGUCUUGCUGUCACUUAUAGAUGGAUCCGCGUUGCAUUAGCUAGUUGGUAAGGUAACGGCUUACCAAGGCAACGAUGCAUAGCCGACCUGAGAGGGUGAUCGGCCACACUGGAACUGAGACACGGUCCAGACUCCUACGGGAGGCAGCAGUAGGGAAUCUUCCGCAAUGGGCGAAAGCCUGACGGAGCAACGCCGCGUGAGUGAUGAAGGUCUUCGGAUCGUAAAACUCUGUUAUUAGGGAAGAACAUAUGUGUAAGUAACUGUGCACAUCUUGACGGUACCUAAUCAGAAAGCCACGGCUAACUACGUGCCAGCAGCCGCGGUAAUACGUAGGUGGCAAGCGUUAUCCGGAAUUAUUGGGCGUAAAGCGCGCGUAGGCGGUUUUUUAAGUCUGAUGUGAAAGCCCACGGCUCAACCGUGGAGGGUCAUUGGAAACUGGAGAACUUGAGUGCAGAAGAGGAAAGUGGAAUUCCAUGUGUAGCGGUGAAAUGCGCAGAGAUAUGGAGGAACACCAGUGGCGAAGGCGAC
rnacentral:rRNA from 1 species